ACAGGGAUUGCCCUAGUAACGGCGAGUGAAGCGGCAACAGCUCAAAUUUGAAAUCUGGCUCUUUUAGAGUCCGAGUUGUAAUUUGCAGAGGGCGCUUUGGCUUUGGCAGCGGUCCAAGUUCCUUGGAACAGGACGUCACAGAGGGUGAGAAUCCCGUACGUGGUCGCUGGCUAUUGCCGUGUAAAGCCCCUUCGACGAGUCGAGUUGUUUGGGAAUGCAGCUCUAAAUGGGAGGUACAUUUCUUCUAAAGCUAAAUAUUGGCCAGAGACCGAUAGCGCACAAGUAGAGUGAUCGAAAGAUGAAAAGCACUUUGGAAAGAGAGUCAAACAGCACGUGAAAUUGUUGAAAGGGAAGCGCUUGCAGCCAGACUUGCUUGCAGUUGCUCAUCCGGGCUUUUGCCCGGUGCACUCUUCUGUAGGCAGGCCAGCAUCAGUUUGGGCGGUAGGAUAAAGGUCUCUGUCACGUACCUCUCUUCGGGGAGGCCUUAUAGGGGAGGCGACAUACUACCAGCCUGGACUGAGGUCCGCGCAUCUGCUAGGAUGCUGGCGUAAUGGCUGUAAGCGGCCCGUCUUGAAACACGGACCAAGGAGUCUAACAUCUAUGCGAGUGUUUGGGUGUCAAGCCCGAGCGCGUAAUGAAAGUGAACGGAGGUGGGAACCCGCAAGGGUGCACCAUCGACCGAUCCUGAUGUCUUCGGAAGGAUUUGAGUAAGAGCAUGGCUGUUGGGACCCGAAAGAUGGUGAACUAUGCUUGAAUAGGGUGAAGCCAGAGGAAACUCUGGUGGAGGCUCGCAGCGGUUCUGACGUGCAAAUCGAUCGUCAAAUUUGGGCAUAGGGGCGAAAGACUAAU
rnacentral:rRNA from 1 species